CUAGAAAACUAUCGCAAUAUACACAUUGACAUAUAAGAAUGAAGUAUUUAUGCCGAAACCGGUUUGACUCACUGGAUAGAGCGUCGGUCUGUGGACUGAAAGGUCCCAGGUUUGAUUCUGGUCAAGGGCAUGUACACUGGUUGCAGGCACAUCCCCAGUAGGGGGUGUG